rnacentral:tRNA from 1 species
GUCUGGGUGGCUCAGUCAGUUGAGCAUCCGGCUUCGGUUCAGGUCAUGAUCUUGCAGUUCGUGGGUUUGAACCCCACCUCGGGCU